GAUCCUGGCUCAGGACGAACGCUGGCGGCGCGCCUAACACAUGCAAGUCGAACGAGAGAUGAAGAGCUUGCUCUUCAAAUCGAGUGGCGAACGGGUGAGUAACGCGUGAGGAACCUGCCUCAAAGAGGGGGACAACAGUUGGAAACGACUGCUAAUACCGCAUAAGCCCACAGCUCGGCAUCGAGCAGAGGGAAAAGGAGUGAUCCGCUUUGAGAUGGCCCUCGCGUCGUA
rnacentral:rRNA from 1 species